UGCUAUGAAUCGUUUUAAGUUUGUUUAAACCUUAUUUAAUAAAGCUAAUGAAUCGUUUCA
rnacentral:pre_miRNA from 1 species